AACGAACGCUGGCGGCAUGCCUAACACAUGCAAGUCGAACGAGACCUUCGGGUCUAGUGGCGCACGGGUGCGUAACGCGUGGGAACCUGCCCUUAGGUUCGGAAUAACUCCCCGAAAGGGGUGCUAAUACCGGAUAAUGUCUUCGGACCAAAGAUUUAUCGCCUUUGGAUGGGCCCGCGUUGGAUUAGCUAGGUGGUAGGGUAAAAGCCUACCAAGGCGACGAUCCAUAGCUGGUCUGAGAGGAUGAUCAGCCACACUGGGACUGAGACACGGCCCAGACUCCUACGGGAGGCAGCAGUGGGGAAUAUUGGACAAUGGGCGAAAGCCUGAUCCAGCAAGGCCGCGUGAGUGAUGAAGGCCUUAGGGUUGUAAAGCUCUUUUAACCGGGAUGAUAAUGACAGUACCGGGAGAAUAAGCGCCGGCUAACUCCGUG
rnacentral:rRNA from 1 species